rnacentral:rRNA from 1 species
AGCGAACGCUGGCGGCAGGCUUAACACAUGCAAGUCGAGCGCCCCGCCAGGGGAGCGGCAGACGGGAGAGUAACACGUGGGAACAUACCUUUUGGUUCGGAACAACUGAGGGAAACUUCAGCUAAUACCGGAUAAGCCCUUACGGGGAAAGAUUUAUCGCCGAAAGAUUGGCCCGCGUCUGAUUAGCUAGUUGGUGAGGUAACGGCUCACCAAGGCGACGAUCAGUAGCUGGUCUGAGAGGAUGAUCAGCCUCACUGGGACUGAGACACGGCCCAGACUCCUACGGGAGGCAGCAGUGGGGAAUAUUGGACAAUGGGGGCAACCCUGAUCCAGCCAUGCCGCGUGAGUGAUGAAGGCCUUAGGGUUGUAAAGCUCUUUUGCCCGGGGAGAUAAUGACGGUACCGGGAGAAUAAGCCCCGGCUAACUUCGUG